rnacentral:rRNA from 1 species
GAUGAACGCUGGCGGCGUGCCUAAUACAUGCAAGUAGAACGCUGAAGCUUGGUGCUUGCACCGAGCGGAUGAGUUGCGAACGGGUGAGUAACGCGUAGGUAACCUGCCUCUUAGCGGGGGAUAACUAUUGGAAGCGAUAGCUAAUACCGCAUAAAAGUCGAUAUCGCAUGAUAUUGAUUUGAAAGGUGCAAAUGCAUCACUAAGAGAUGGACCUGCGUUGUAUUAGCUAGUUGGUGAGGUAACGGCUCACCAAGGCGACGAUACAUAGCCGACCUGAGAGGGUGAUCGGCCACACUGGGACUGAGACACGGCCCAGACUCCUACGGGAGGCAGCAGUAGGGAAUCUUCGGCAAUGGGGGCAACCCUGACCGAGCAACGCCGCGGGAGUGAAGAAGGUUUUCGGAUCGUAAAGCUCUGUUGUAAGAGAAGAACGAGUGUGAGAGUGGAAAGUUCACACUGUGACGGUAACUUACCAGAAAGGGACGGCUAACUACGUG